rnacentral:tRNA from 1 species
GCCGGAGUGGCGGAACGGCAGACGCAGUCGACUCAAAAUCGACCGCCCUUGGGCGUGCGGGUUCAAAUCCCGCCUCCGGCA